UCUUUUUAGUUUAAUAAAUUAAAAUAUAACUUUGAAGCAGUUAAGAUUAUAAAGAUAAU
rnacentral:tRNA from 1 species